AACUACCGCCUCCUGGCCAAAUCCAGCCCGGGGCCUCUUUUAUGUGAAAAGUUUGUUGUCCCCCGACAUAGAACAUACGAUCAGUGGUAUCACCUACCUUGACCGAUGUCUUUAGAACACUAAACAGGAGAUGUGAAUUUCACAUGUGUGUCCACUACACAUUCUUUUCAAGUACAAGUAUGUUCGCCAAGAUAAAGCAUUUUCUGAGCCACGGACCAAUCCUCAACACAUUUCAACGUCCAGGAUUGAAAUUUAACCCGGUACGUCUCUGACCAGCCUUGCCUUGUUCUUGAUUCUAGAGGGAAAGCUUUCAACCUCUCACUGUUGCGUAUGAUGUCAGCUGUGGGUUUUGUCGUUAUGUGGGCUUUGUGGUAUUGAGCUAUACAACUUCUCUGCCCCCAUUCGUGGAGGGUUUUUAUCAUGGAAAUAUGUUCUAUUUUGUCAAAUGCGUUUUCUGCACCUAGGGAGAUGAUCAUAUGGUUUUUAUCUUUCAUUCUAACGAUGCGGUGCUUCGUUUAUAGACAGGCAUGUGUUGAAAGAUCCUUGUUUUCCGGCUGCAGGUUCCUCCCGCCCGUGCCUGGAGAUGAGAGCUGCCUGCCCCGUAGACAGUGACAAAGAACAGGGCAGACACAGACAGUCCGAGGCUCAGGCUGAGGCGCUCCCUGGUGACGUUGCUCAUUGAAAUGCUUCCACCAGCCACAGGCCGCUCUAGACACUGGCCACCUUCUUGCUGUGACACCUGCCUCCAGGACAAGGCAGCUGUGCCUUUACUUUCCUCACUUGUCCCGAGGACCUAUUCGGAGACGCUCAGGACCCUUGUCAGGACUUUAGGGAAGCAAGCAGCAGCGUAAUAAACUGGAAAAACACUUUGGGGAAGGAUGAGACAUGUGAGAGCCAACCACAAGGAGCUCUGAGAGUUGUGGGUUCGGAACCUCAGGGAAUGAGGCCUCUGAUGACACGGGAGUAUAGAAUGGGCAGUGGGGCCGACCCAGCCAGCUGUCCCAGCGCUCUUCUCCACAGAUCUGAAUCAAGGCCGAUAAGCCACAAAGUCCUACUCUGCAGCUCCUCCGGAAUUGACCUUGUCCCUGGUCACCUGCCACCACCCUCUCCCUGGACCGUUCUAGAACUAACACAGUCAGGAUGCUGCCGUUCACAUGGAGCUCCUUCCGAAC